rnacentral:rRNA from 1 species
AGUGAACGCUGGCGAUAGGCCUAACACAUGCAAGUCGAACGGAAGCACAGUAAGAGCUUGCUCUUACGGGUGGCGAGUGGCGGGCGGGUGAGGAAUACAUCGGAAUCUUCUUUUUCGUGGGGGAUAACGUAGGGAAACUUACGCUAAUACCGCAUACGACCUACGGGUGAAAGCAGGGGAUCUUCGCACCUUGCGCGAUUGAAUGAGCCGAUGUCGGAUUAGCUAGUUGGCGGGGUAAAGGCCCACCAAGGCGACGAUCCGUAGCUGGUCUGAGAGGAUGAUCAGCCACACUGGAACUGAGACACGGUCCAGACUCCUACGGGAGGCAGCAGUGGGGAAUAUUGGACAAAGGGCGCAAGCCUGAUCCAGCCAUACCGCGUGGGUGAAGAAGGCCUUCGGGUUGUAAAGCCCUUUUGUUGGGAAAGAAAAGCAGCAGGUUAAUACCCCGCUGCUCUGACGGUACCCAAAGAAUAAGCACCGGCUAACUUCGUG